UUUACAGUUUUUGGAUCUGGCUUUUAAAUAGCCAUUACAUUUCUUUCUUUUUGCUUUCUGUCCACUCCUAUUAAUGCUUGCAGGUGCAACUUGGGCGGUGAGGUGGUGGACGUGACAGACGGUGGCAGACCUGGCACGGGGAGGCAGCAGCUAGGUUUUUUUGUCCUUUUGUUUCUGAUUUGUUAAUUUAGGCUAGGGUUAAGGUUAUUUGGGCCCGGGAGUUAUUUGGGCUUUAGUUUGGG
rnacentral:lncRNA from 1 species